AGCGAUUGUAGUUUUCAAAGUUUUAAAGUGUUUAAGCUGUGUUUUUUUUUUAAAUAAUUUGAGGUUUUAUCGAAGUAUCGUAUGUUUUGAAGUCGGAUUUAAAAGUAUAAAAGAGUGUUUAUUGUUAUGCGUUCUACCGUGCCAGCCCCGUGCACCCUUGCCUACCACUUUCAAAAGAACCUGUGCAGAACCAUCGCUGUCUCGCGCACGUUGGGGUGAAGGGUCAUGGUGGGUAAGGGCCUGGAGCAGUGGUGGGGAUAAGUCGUUGGGGCGAGGUGUCUUUCCCCACCACUCUGACUUUCCUGCUGUCCUGCAUGCACGACUCAAACAGAGUCAUUGAUUGAGGUGCUGGUGAACUCAUUGAAGACUUAAAAAUGUUUUGUUAUUAGUGUGAGGUGUGAUAGUACAGACUGUUGUGAUUACCACUGUUUAUGAUUUACUUUAUAGCCUAUGUUUUAAAAUAAAUGUUCUACAUAAACUA